GGGGAAUAUUGCACAAUGGAGGGAACUCUGAUGCAGCGACGCCGCGUGAGCGAUGAAGGCUUUCGAGUCGUAAAGCUCUGUCGAAUGGGAAGAUAAUGACGGUACCAUUUGAGAAAGCCCCGGCUAACUACGUGCCAGCAGCCGCGGUAAUACGUAGGGGGCGAGCGUUGUCCGGAAUUAUUGGGCGUAAAGGGUUCGUAGGCGGCAAUGUAUGUCAGGUGUGAAAGACGGUGGCUCAACCAACGCAAGCAUCUGAAACUGCAUAGCUUGAGAAAAGGAGAGGUAAGUGGAAUUCCUAGUGUAGCGGUGAAAUGCGUAGAUAUUAGGAGGAAUACCAGUGGCGAAGGCGACUUACUGGACUUUAACUGACGCUGAUGAACGAAAGCGUGGGGAGCAAAC
rnacentral:rRNA from 1 species